UUUAUUUUGAAAUUGUAGGGUCGGGGCAACCUGUGGUUAGGAAGUGAUUGUGGGAGGUGUGGAGUGUUGCUACGUGAGUCACUCCACGCUGUGAGUUUUGAAUAACUUUUCAUGGAGUGGAGAAGAGGGAACAUGUGUGCAAUGACUCAGAUCAUGUUCAAACCCCCUGAGGCAUUUUGUUUGUUCAUUUUUAGCUCCAUAUCGACUUGGAAAUCGAACAGUAAACAACGCAAAAAGGUUUUUGGCUGAACAACUUUGGAUUAUGCAUUGUUCCGGACUCUGUUCUGGCCGCGGUCAGCGCUGUAGAUCAUUUAUGCCAGUGCGCUGCCUCUGUUCCUCACAUAUUGAGUACAGGAGCCUCCCCCUUCUACCUGUAUCUCCUUGGGAACUGACACGAGACUGCGGAGCUGUGUCAGCCAGGCGGACGUCUCGUUCUCAGUAUCGUUCUGCUUGUGACAAAAGGACUAGACAGAAACCCGAGACCCUCAGACCUGUUUGUUUCCUGUUAGAGCAGAUUAUUACGUUUCAUUAGCCAGAGGUACAAAAGCUAAGGAUAAUGGGAAAGUAACAAUCUGAGCUGAGGGAUUUCAGGUAAGGAGAUGGUACAUGCUUCUUACACUCAGAUUAUUAUUUUUUUUGAAUAAUUCAAAUACUACCCAAGUUUGCUGCAAACUUGAUUUAAAUGUCCAAUGAUGUUGGUUCUUUUUUUCUCUGUAUGCUGUUUGUUUGUAUCUUCAUCAUACAAAACGUAUGUCGAAGACGUAUGUGUUCAAUAAAAUCAGCUCAACCUACUGCCUUUAAAGGGCAGCUUAUUAUAGGAGUCCACCUAUGUGUGUAACUCUGGAGGAGCGGAUUUGGCUUGAAACUCAGGUUGCCUCUUUAGGAGCUCCAGCAAUUCAGUGGCUAAUGAUACACAUCUGGUGUGGGCAAUAAAGAAAGUUAUGUGGGCCAUGCAGCGGUUAAGCGUGCCAAGCUAAACUGGGC